rnacentral:rRNA from 1 species
UACGGGGGGAGCAAGCGUUGUUCGGAUUUACUGGGCGUAAAGGGCGCGUAGGCGGCGCAACAAGUCACUUGUGAAAUCUCCGGGCUUAACCCGGAGCGGCCAAGUGAUACUGUCGUGCUAGAGUGCGGAAGGGGCUACUGGAAUUCUCGGUGUAGCGGUGAAAUGCGUAGAUAUCGAGAGGAACACCUGCGGCGAAGGCGGGUUGCUGGGCCGACACUGACGCUGAUGCGCGAAAGCCAGGGGAGCAAACAGG